CAGGAUGAACGCAGCGGCAGGCCUAACACAUGCAAGCGAGGGCAGCAGGGCGUAGCAAUACGCUGCUGGCGACCGGCGCACGGGUGCGUAACGCGUAUGCAACCUACCUUAACAGGGGGAUAACGGAGAGAAAUUUCCACUAAUACCCCGUAUAGAUGCGGAUUUCGCAUGUUUCUGCAUCGAAAGCCUUCGGGUGGUUAGGGAUGGGCAUGCGUGGCAUUAGGUAGUUGGCGGGCAACGGCCCACCAAGCCCACGAUGCCUAGGGGAGCUGAGAGGCUAAUCCCCCACACUGGUACUGAGACACGGACCAGACUCCUACGGGAGGCAGCAGUGAGGAAUAUUGGUCAAUGGAGGGAACUCUGAACCAGCCAUGCCGCGUGAGGGAUGAAAGGCCCUAUGGGUUGUAAACCUCUUUUGCCUGGGGGCAAUAAGGCUCAUGCGUGGGCUGAUGAGAGUACCAGGCGAAUAAGCAUCGGCUAACUCCGUGCCAGCCGCUGC
rnacentral:rRNA from 1 species